UCCAUGACACGCAAUUCGUUAGAGGCAGAAUUUACGCUAUACUGUUUAUCGACAAUCGAACUCUCAACGUCGAUAUCAUUCGGAAAGUUUCUCGUAAGCUCCAUUGUCGUGAGUGUAAAGACCGGAGAUUGAUUGGAAAUACUAAAUAAUCUGGGUUCCAACAUAGAAAGAACGUGAGAAUAGACAAGCGAAGUUGAUUUACCAAUUCUUCUUUCCACCCAAUGGGUAAGCCUGGCAUUUUUUGAGAGGACAGAAAGUUUUCCUGAAUUUAUGCGAACAUGCGCGGAUAGAUCAGGUACAAGGAUGCUAUUAUCAUCGUCUAAUAUAUUAUUCAAAUCCGUUGAUACAGACGGAGCAGAGCCAACAGCACGUUUCCUUCUUUUUGUUGGAUGUGGUAUUGAUUCCUUUGGCUUCCUGGUAAGUCCUUGUAGUUCUGACAUAUCUGCUGCACGAAGCUCUAACAUUUCCAAGGCGACAGAAUCAUCAACCUCUCUAUUUUUUUUUAUUUCAGACACGUUUUCUGACUUUCUGCGAUCUAAGUGCUUGAUCCGGAGUUGCAUUUCCUGAUCUCCUACUGGUAUUAAAUGUCUCGGUUGCACUACUAGCAAAAACUUUUGGUAAAUCAAUUCCGUUAGAUUUUUCUGCAUCAUACGGCUUUCUUCAUCACUCCCAUCAACCUUUUUAUC